rnacentral:lncRNA from 1 species
AGAAUGUCUCAAUGAUGGAGACGCGUUUUGCUUAUCUCUCAUUCUGAUUUGGAUUCUGAUUGGUUUUCCUCUUCUUAGGCCAAGCGGUCAGUGGAUGGUCAGAAGACCACAUUUUGGCAUGAUAUUUGGGUUGGCUUAAUCCUGUUAUGCAUCUCUUUUGAGCGGUUAUUUCUUGUUUUUAAGUAGAAAAAUCAUAUGGUGGGCUCUAUGGGUUCUUGGGAGGGGGACAUUUAGGUGUGAAGUUUUAGGUGGAGGCGUAUUCUUCGGGUUUGGG